AAGCCCAAGACAAAUUUCUAAGAAAAAUCAAGUAUAAGACUUCCAAGUAAGGUUCUUCCAAUUCUUUUACAAUAUUCUUCUUCAAGAAAAUAAUUCAAGAAUCACAAGAAAGGAUUUCUUAAUCGUUCUUUUUCAAGUAAGAGCACUUCUUCAAGAUUCAUGGAGAAUUUAAGGAAUUCCUUAGAAAAAGAAAAUUCAAUAGAUCUAGAGCAAAAAACCACUAAAGCGCACCAACGAAGGAACUGGCACCUCACAAAAGCUGACAGAUGUCUCAUUGGCUAGAUUGGAGAAAACUAAAAUAGUGCUUGUUCUGCAAUUAGCGAAGCACAUUGAACAAUCAGUUGUUCGCUGAUCCUAGUGCAAAAGCUCCUAGAAGUACUGAAGGAUAAAGUGAGGCAGCGACUGGUGCCUCACAAUGGUGGAUCAAUGGUUCGCCAGUCCAGCGCAAGUCUCGAGCAGAAACUGAUGGACCAAAAAUAUAUUUAUGAAAAAGUAUUUCCUUUGGAAAGUUUCAAGGACCAAAAUAGGAAAUUGAGCAAUUAUGCACCAUUAUUCUCAUUAUUUUCAUUAUCCAAUUUUAUCAAAGAGUAGAGAGAAGAGAGUAGAAGAAGUUUCUAGAGUGAAAAAUAGGACCUUCAUCUUCAUACUCAAAAACUCUUAGCUUAAUAAAAAAAAACCUUCAAUAUUGU